rnacentral:rRNA from 1 species
AUGGCUGGUAAUUUCUCCUCUCAGAAUUAUGAUAAGGGGAUGCAGAGGCUUCCUGCGGUAGCUGAGAGUGAAGAAGAAGAGGAAAGUGAAGAAGAUAACAACACUGAACUGCUGAUUGAGACUAUGGCCAGAGAACAUGCAGCUAAAAAAAUGUCUUAUUGUGGCUCUCAAUCUGGUAAAAUAUCGUGUGAGAAUGUCUUUGAGGAUCUGGAUGUCGAAGAGAUGACUGAAUCUCCCAGUAAUGAGAUCAGUAUACAUAAAGGUGCUUGGGGGAUGAUUACUCCUGUUCCACCCUCACCUUUGUUUGUCUGUCAUGAUGUGAAUACUUAUGGGAAUGCAUUUCCUCCCUUGUCAGACUAUGUGGUUUGGCCUUCCCUGCCUCAUAUUGUGCCUCUUGAGGAGGGAUUCAUGGAAGGAUGUGAAAACUGUAGUGUCUAUACAGUUGAAUCUCCCUCUGGAUCACCAAUUCAUGAUAGCAUGAGUCAAGACGAGGAUGUCCCACGCAGACAGAAGCAGAAGCUGGAGAAGGUGGGAGAUGUGGCUGCCAACAGAAUGAGGAAGCGUAAUUUGGAAGGUUUGCUAAAGGAAGAAGAAAAGGUGAAGCUCCAGGCUGGAGUGAAGAGGUUGACUCACGCGGCUGCUGCGCUGGCGGACAGAUCUCUUCCUCGAGGCAGGCCCCUCUUAGGAGACAGAGAUGGGAUCCAGAUUGGUUAG